UUCCCAAACCUUAAGAUACAAACCCUCUCAAAGAGAUACAAAGAAGCAAACAAAGAAAUAAUCGUUUCAAGAUCAAAGUGUUUGCAAAUUAAGCUCAAUUACAAAAUAAAACAAAAUAAAGAACAAAAGGUGAGAGAAAAUGAAACUGGGAAGAAAAUUUGGGAAAAAGAAAAUAAAGGAAAAUAACAAUAAAAUUUAAAAAGAAAAACCACCACCUUAAAAUCUGGCACCCAAUCAGGUUUUUAAGGGUUUGAAAUCAA
rnacentral:lncRNA from 1 species